rnacentral:lncRNA from 1 species
UUGAAGCCCGGUCCAUGUAAGAGCCUUAUGAGCCCAAUUUUAUUGGGCCAUUUUUAGCCCAUUUUAUAUUUUCGUGCUAUUUUUUGGGCCGAAAAAUAUUUGUUGCACUUCAUAUUGGACCGUUUUUUUCUAGGCCCUAGCACAUCUAACGAAGAGCCAUUAUUGCAUUUCGCAGUACCAUAUUGGGCCCUUUUUUCUGGACCCUAGCCCAUUAUUGCAUUUCGUAGUGCCAUAUAUUCAAUUUUGCCUGCUAAUCACUAUCACAACCACAGACAUAAAAACAACUCAUUUUCAACUUCCAUAUUGUUCACAUCCCAAUUAAUGAAUAGCUCACCAGCAAUAAUAAUGCAACAUACAACAAAUUAAGCAUCAACAAUGCAACAUACACAAAAGUUCAUCAGCAACAAACAACAAGUUCACAAGCAACACACUUCAUGAGGGAAGGAUUCACCCGGCUCUGACUGAUGCUGAAGUUUAUCAGCUAGAAAUCAGAGAAUGCAACUACUUUGUGGUGUUCUUCAGAGCUUUGAGCUCUUCUGUCUGAGACUUCAAUGUUGUUUCUUGUGUUUCAGCCCUCAAUCUCAGUGCACCCAUCUCAAACUCCUAUUCACCAAUCUUUUACCAAAGUUGUGGCCCCUUGUUUCUCACUCUCAAGAUCAACUU